rnacentral:rRNA from 1 species
GACAGAGGUCCCGAGCGUUGUUCGGAUUCAUUGGGCGUAAAGGGCGCGUAGGAGGCCAGGUAAGUCAGGUGUGAAAUCUCAGAGCUUAACUCUGAAACUGCGCUUGAUACUGCUUGGCUAGAGGAUCGGAGGGGGUAUCGGAAUUUAUGGUGUAGCAGUGAAAUGCGUAGAUAUCAUAAGGAACACCGGUGGCGAAGGCGGAUACCUGGAAGAUUCCUGACGCUGAAACACGAAAGCCAGGGGAGCAAACGGG